AUGGAUAUGGAACACGAAAUACCAAAAAAAAUAGGUGUACCUGCUACUCAUGGAGAUGGGGAACCUCCUAAAACCCUCAAUGCUGGUUAUGUGAAAAAUAUUAUGUACUACUUUGAUAAUCCUGAGAAAAACCCAUUCAAUUAUGUAAUGGGAGAUAUGUUGGAUAAACAUGAAUACUUUAGGGAUUAUCGCUUGACUCAAAAAGGGAAACUAUUAUGGGAUCAAAUUCAUAUGUUGCAUUGGUAUGCUCGGGAACUAUGCUUGAGAUAUGACUAUACUUGUUGCUCUAGGAUGAAGGCUCCACACCUUCCCUUUUCAUGCAAAUUUAACGAUGAUAAAACCUUGACAUCUUAUGCUAAUGGUAUAUAUGAUUACUAUGAUGUCGAUCAAAUAGAAGAAUUUGUUGCUUUUAUGGGUGCUUAUGAAAUUGAAUCUUUGAUUAAAGAGUGUGAAAAUUUUGAUGAUGCUGUUUACAGACCUGGAAAUUUUGCUAUACUUAAAUAUUCCUAUGAGAAUUGUGAAUUCAAUUCCGAUAUUGAUGAUUUUAUUGAUAGAGUAUCCACUGUCCAAGAAGAGACUCAUAUUUUGCAGGAGUCUAUGGAAGAAGAAGAAAUUAAUGACAUUGUGAGCUCAUUGGAUGAAAACGAUGAGGAGGAGAGCAAACAACAAAAGGAGGAAGAGUGGAUUGAUCAACUGUGCCCACCUUCUAAUGAGAGUAAUUCUUCAACUCAUACAUUGUUUAAUUUCCCUUCGUGCUUACCGAAGGAUGAUUGCUAUGGUGACUGUUAUGAUCCUGUUGAUUCUCUUGAAAUGUCCCUUUUUGAUGAUGCUUGCUAUACUUGUGGACAAGAUGCCAAUACGAAUUAUGCUUAUGGAGAUGAACUUGCUAUAGUUCAUUAUGUUAAACAAGAAAUUGUUGCUAUUGCACCCACGCAUGAUAGUCCUAUUAUCUUGAAUUCUCCCAACUACACUAUAUCAGAGAAGUUUACCCUUAUUAAGGAUUAUAUUGAUGGGUUGCGUUUUACUAUUACACAUGACGAUUUUGAUAGAUAUAAUAUCCAUGUGCUUGCUGGUCCUACUUGCAAUUAUUGUGAGAGAGGAACUACAUCUCCGCCUCUUUAUGUUUCCAGUAUGAUAAAAUUGCAAGAAACUGUUUAUACUAUGCAUUGGCCUUUACUUUGUGUGUAUGAAUUGUUCUUUUAUGACAUGACGAUGCAUAGGAAGAGAGUUAGACUUCAUUAUUACAUGAUAUAUGUUACUUUGUGCUCACUACUAAAUUACAAAUCAUUGUUAAUUAAAAUUGGCUUUGAUAUACCUUGGGAUCCAGGUGGAUCCAUUACUUGA
rnacentral:rRNA from 1 species